CUACCCUCAAGCACGGCUUGUGUGUUGGGCCCCCGUCCCCCCUCCCGGGGGACGGGCCCGAAAGGCAGCGGCGGCACCGCGUUCCGGUCCUCGAGCGUAUGGGGCUUUGUCACCCGCUCUGUAGGCCCGGCCGGCGCCUGCCGACCACCAUCAAUCUUUUGUUAGG
rnacentral:misc_RNA from 1 species